GGAUCAAUAUUUCGGUCAUGCCGUUGGUAUGCACUGUUAUCAUUGAUUUCUCACCUUCUAAAGAACCGUAAUGCCAUUAAUUUGGUGUUACGGGGAAUUAGGACUGUUACCUUGAAAAAAUUAGAGUGUUUAAAGCAGGCUCACGCUUGAAUACAUUAGCAUGGAAUAAUGAAAUAGGACAUCCGAUUCUAUUUUGUUGGUUUCUAGGAUCGAUGUAAU
rnacentral:rRNA from 1 species